AGAGUAGCAUUGGAGGGCAGUCUGGUGCCAGCAGCCGCGGUAAUUCCAGCUCCAAUAGCGUAUAUUAAACUUGUUGCAGUUAAAAAGCUCGUAGUUGAAUUUUAGCGUGUUCGAGUUUGCCAUUCGUUUGGCUUUUUCGAGUUCGCUUUUGGGUUUUCCCUUUUUACUUUGAGAAAAUUAGAGUGUUUCAAGCAGACUUUUGUCUUGAAUACUUCAGCAUGGAAUAAUAGAGUAGGACUUUGGUUCUAUUUUGUUGGUUAUUGAACCUUAGUAAUGGUUAAUAGGAACGUUGGGGGCA
rnacentral:rRNA from 1 species